UACGUAGGGUGCGAGCGUUAAUCGGAAUUACUGGGCGUAAAGGGUGCGCAGGCGGUCUCGUAAGCUUGGUGUGAAAGCCCCGGGCUUAACCUGGGAAUGGCAUUCAGGACUGCGAGGCUUUGAGUGCGGCAGAGGGAGGUGGAAUUCCACGUGUAGCAGUGAAAUGCGUAGAGAUGUGGAGGAACACCGAUGGCGAAGGCAGCCUCCUGGGCCAGCACUGACGCUCAUGCACGAAAGCGUGGGGAGCAAACAGG
rnacentral:rRNA from 1 species